UUCAUGCAAAUCCUGACAUCUUCAUCUUACAUUUAUCUCUCUGCACUGAGUGGUGACUGGAUCUGAAUCUGUCAGUCAUGGCAUCUUUAACAAGGUUCCCAGUAGUUCUGAUGGUUAUAUGCUUAACAGGUGUCGAUACACAGACUCUGACUGAGUCUGAAGCAGCAGUUAAAAAGCCGGGAGAAUCACACAAACUGACAUGUACAGCCUCUGGCUUCACAUUCAGUAGCUAUGAAAUGCACUGGAUCAGACAGGCUCCUGGGAAGGGACUGGAGUGGAUCGCAGAGAUCAGCACUGGUGGUGGUAGCACUUACUACUCCCAGUCUGUUCAGGGCAGAUUCACCAUCUCCAGGGACAACGGCAAGAACCAGCUGUAUUUACAGAUGAACAGCCUGAAAGCUGAAGACACGGCUGUGUACUACUGUGCCAGAGAGUCACAGUGAUGGGGGCUGUGGGGAA